rnacentral:lncRNA from 1 species
GCUGUCUUGAUACCAAACGGAGCUCUGUCCAUGAGCGCUUCUCUCCCUGGAGCUGGCCCAGGCAGGACACCUGGCCAUGUCCGGCUUUAACCAGAAAUAAGCGUGAGGGGCGUGGGAACACUCCAGCUACUCGCAGGUGACAUUUGAAACUAACGCUGGAGAUGAAACAGCUGUCCUUAGGAGAAGAACGGAGACAAUUCCGGAAAGGCAAAGCCAGCAAGGAGAACAGCGAGGGGACAAAGGCACUCUGAAGUGGUUACAUAAAGCAUGCUCUUUCAGCUCUUUUUACAUCAGAUUUCAUGCACCAUCACUACGGAUCAGGCAGAAAGGGAAGCAGAUAAGCAGGCGAGCAACAUGACAGUGUCCUGCC